AGCCAGACUCCUACGGGAGGCAGCAGUGAGGAAUAUUGGUCAAUGGGCGCGAGCCUGAACCAGCCAAGUAGCGUGAAGGAUGACUGCCCUACGGGUUGUAAACUUCUUUUAUAAAGGAAUAAAGUGAGGCACGUGUGCCUUUUUGUAUGUACUUUAUGAAUAAGGAUCGGCUAACUCCGUGCCAGCAGCCGCGGUAAUACGGGGGAUGCGAGCGUUAUCCGGAUUUAUUGGGUUUAAAGGGUGCGUAGGCGGCGCUUCAGGUCAGCGGUGAAAUACCGGGGCUCAACCCCGGGGCUGCCGUUGAAACCGGAGCACUAGAAUUCCGAUGCCGUCGGAGGAAUGUGUGGUGUAGCGGUGAAAUGCAUAGAUAUCACACAGAACACCGAUUGCGAAGGCAGCAUACCGGCGCCCGACUGACGCUGAGGCACGAAAGCGUGGGUAUCGAACAGGAUUAGAUACCCCAGUAUG
rnacentral:rRNA from 1 species